AUUGAACGCUGGCGGCAGGCCUAACACAUGCAAGUCGACCGGAGUGGCGGACGGGUGAGUAAUGCCUAGGAAUCUGCCUGGUCGUGGGGGAUCACGUCCGGAAACGGGCGCUAAUACCGCAUACUAUCAGAUGAGCCUAUGUCGGAUUAGCUAGUUGUUUGGGUAAAGGCCUACCAAGGCGACGAUCCGUAACUGGUCUGAGAGGAUGCUCAGUCACACGGGAACAGAGACACGGGCCAGACUCCUACGGGAGGCAGCAGGGGGGAAUAUUGGACAAUGGGCGAAAGCCUGAUCCAGCCAUGCCGCGUGUGGGAAGAAGGGCUUCGGAUUGGAAAGCACUUUAAGUUGGGAGGCGUUACCAACAGAAUAAGCACCGGCUAACUUCGUGCCAGCCGCCGCGGUAAUUC
rnacentral:rRNA from 1 species